AGAGUUUGAUCAUGGCUCAGAUUGAACGCUGGCGGCAUGCUUUACACAUGCAAGUCGAACGGUAACAGGCCUUCGGGCGCUGACGAGUGGCGAACGGGUGAGUAAUGCAUCGGAACGUGCCCAGUCGUGGGGGAUAACUAUCCGAAAGGAUAGCUAAUACCGCAUACGAUCUGCGGAUGAAAGCGGGGGACCUUCGGGCCUCGCGCGAUUGGAGCGGCCGAUGUCAGAUUAGGUAGUUGGUGGGGUAAAGGCUCACCAAGCCAACGAUCUGUAGC
rnacentral:rRNA from 1 species